AUUAUAUAAAACGAUUAAGGUUUUGGAACAAUUCCAAAUUAAAAGGGAAGAAGAGUGAAAAUCUCUCGCGGUCCCGCCACUGUAAAGCUGACUAAGGUAUGUUUGCCACUGGAAAAUAUUUUCUGGGAAGGGUGUACCUUAUAGGAUGAAGCUGAGCCAGGAGACCUGCCUUGAUCUUAGAGAUGUA
rnacentral:ncRNA from 2 species